GACGAACGCUGGCGGCGUGCUUAACACAUGCGAGUCGAACGGAAAGGCCCCUCCUUUGGGGCUCGCGCGAGUAACGAACGGGUGAGUAACAAGUGAGUAACCCGCCCCUGACUUUGGGCUAACGGCAGGGAACUGGAGUACAGACCGGAUAGGAGCUUCGCCUGCCUGGUGGGGGUUGGAAAGUUUCGGCGGGUGGGGAUGGGCUCGCGGCUUAUCAGCUUGUUGGUGGGGUAGUGGCUUACCAUGGCUUUGACGGGUAGCCGGCCUGAGAGGGUGACCGGCCACAUUGGGACUGAGAUACGGCCCAGACUCCUACGGGAGGCAGCAGUGGGGAAUAUUGGACAAUGGGCGGAAGCCUGAUGCAGCAACGCCGCGUGCGGGAUGACGGCCUUCGGGUUGUAAACCUCUUUCACCAGUGACGAAGCGUGAGUGACGGUAAGGAGUGAAGAAGCACCGGCUAACUACGUG
rnacentral:rRNA from 1 species